UACGUAGGGGGCAAGCGUUGUCCGGAAUCAUUGGGCGUAAAGAGCGUGUAGGCGGCCCGAUAAGUCCGCUGUGAAAGUCCAGGGCUCAACCCUGGGAUGCCGGUGGAUACUGUCGGGCUCGAGUCCGGAAGAGGAGUGUGGAAUUCCCGGUGUAGCGGUGAAAUGCGCAGAUAUCGGGAGGAACACCAGUAGCGAAGGCGGCACUCUGGGCCGGUACUGACGCUGAGGAGCGAAAGCGUGGGGAGCGAACAGG
rnacentral:rRNA from 1 species